rnacentral:rRNA from 1 species
GAGAGAGACAUGCGCGCAUAUCAAUAAGCGGAGGAAAAGAAACUAACUAGGAUUCCCUCAGUAACGGCGAGUGAAGCGGGAAGAGCUCAAAUUUGAAAUCUUCAAGGGUUCUACCUUUACGAAUUGUAGUUUAAAGAAGUGUUUUCUGUUGAGGUUUUGGUAAAAGUUCUUUGGAAUAGGACAUCAUAGAGGGUGAGAAUCCCGUAUUUGACCAUUACUUUCAACUUUGUGAUACACUUUCAAAGAGUCGGAUUGUUUGGGAAUGCAGUCCAAAAUGGGUGGUAAAUUUCAUCUAAAGCUAAAUACUGGCGAGAGACCGAUAGCGAACAAGUACCGUGAGGGAAAGAUGAAAAGAACUUUGAAAAGAGAGUUAAACAGUACGUGAAAUUGUCAAAAGGGAAGCGUUUGACACCAGUGUUGUUUUCUCGAAAAUCAAUUAAAAAGAGUCAGGAUUUUGUGUUGUAUUGACUUUAAUCAGCUUCUGCCUUCAAUUUUCUUGUCUUUUUUAAUGCACUUUUCGUUUAACAAGUCAACAUCAGUUUCUUUUGUUGUAAAAGGGUCAUUGGAAGGUGGCUUUCUUUUCGGAGAAAGUGUUUAUAGCCUUUGGCCUCUGCAAUCGGAGAGAUUGAGGUCUGCAGCGUAGAUCCUUCGGGGUUAGAUACAUUUGUGCUAAGUUAUAGCCUUUCAUAGACAACUUGUUGACUAUGAUCAGUCAUGUAGCUUACUCGCUUAUGCUAUUUUACCUACGCUUAGGAUGUUGAUGUGAUACUGCGAGCA